GAUGAACGCUGGCGGUGUGCUUAACACAUGCAAGUCGAGCGAGAAGUUUUGAAAAGAUUCUUCGGAUGAAAUUUAAAAUGGAAAGCGGCGGACGGGUGAGUAACGCGUAGGCAACCUGCCCCAUACAAAGGGAUAGCAUUUGGAAACGAAUAUUAAUACCUUAUGAAACUUAACUAGUGCAUGCUAGGUAGGUCAAAGAUUUAUCGGUAUGGGAUGGGCCUGCGUCUGAUUAGCUAGUUGGUGAGGUAACGGCUCACCAAGGCGACGAUCAGUAGCCGACCUGAGAAGGUGAACGGCCACAUUGGAACUGAGACACGGUCCAAACUCCUACGGGAGGCAGCAGUGGGGAAUAUUGCACAAUGGGGGAAACCCUGAUGCAGCAACGCCGCGUGAACGAUGAAGGCCUUUGGGUCGUAAAGUUCUGUUCUAGGUGAUGAAAACUGACAGUAACCUAGGAGAAAGCCCCGGCUAACUCCGUG
rnacentral:rRNA from 1 species